CUUUGUAGGUUGGACCCUUGCUUGAGGCUCUUGGAGAAGACUCCUCCCCCAAAAUUGGGACUUGGCAAACCAGGGUUCACACCAACUUCUUAUAGACUAUUGCAAAAUUCUGUUUUGGGUGUGUUGGGCACGUGUUUUGUAUUACUAAGACACAUUGAACGCAUACGGAGAAUCUCCAGCAGAACAUAUUAAGAUACGCUUAGCCAUGGUAACAGAUGUAUAAUAAAUCACAGUUUCUCCAGAUUUCACAAAGAAAUUAUGGGACUGCAAACCUCCAGGCUCCCCCCUCGACUGUGAAAAUGCUUCCAAUCACAUAAUGCAUAUUGAAAAUGGUACUGGAUAAAUGUGUUCAUGAGAGCAAAGAAGUAGUUGAAUUUGCAUGAAGGAGAGAAAUCAGCUAUUUCUGCAGAUUCUCACAUUUGUAGAUGCGACAUAAAUGACAAGUGGCAGAAAGCCGCAACUGACUCUUUCAAUACAAUAUCCCAUUAUUUUAUUGAAACUUGUUGUUCAGCCCAAGUUCUGCUCCUACAGAGGUAUUUGGGAGCUUAAUCGUGGAUUCUUGGAUCUUCCCUAGUAGUGAUGGACAUCUCGAGUUCCCCACUGACAGAUACCUUUCAUCAGAACCAUUGUAUAGAGGAUUUGCAAGAAAUGAAUAUCCUGAGAGUGGAAGUUCAUUGUGUUCUUGCAGAGAAAUGGAAAGUCAUUUGACAUAACAGUGAGAGAGAGAACUGUGUUCUCCUGUCAUUCGAACCUCCUGUUUGAAUUCUUGAGAGGAACACAACAAGGACAAUUAAGGAUAAGAAGUCAUCACGUGUAUGAAAAAAUUGUCAGCUUGCAGAUAUAUCUUUUACUCUUGCUUCAAGAAAUUCUGACAGUGAAUUUGGUGGGCGUUUUACCCAACUGUUGCAACAUUGGACACUCUAAAGGAGAAAGAACAGGCUGCUUGUCAUCCACAGUCUGAUCAAAUGUCCUUGGAUGUGGGUCAGGUGCAAAUCUUAUGAGAAGGCUAAGGGGUCUAAAGAUCCCUGUUUAAUGCUGCCUCUUGGGAUAUGCACUGCAGCGGUAAGUGAUAAGCCUGCGUCGUGAAAAAUGAUCCUGCAGACAGUGCUGAAAAUGGCCGUGCUAUCUCGCUCCGUGCCAAAGGCGUUUCGUUGACCUUUCUUCAGUACCUCCUUGCUGAGAAGUGGAAGCUCCUGGGCUCUGU